rnacentral:rRNA from 1 species
GAGUGAACGCUGGCGGUAGGCCUAACCCAUGCAAGUCGAACGGCAGCACAGUAAGAGCUUGCUCUUACGGGUGGCGAGUGGCGGACGGGUGAGGAAUACAUCGGAAUCUACUUUUUCGUGGGGGAUAACGUAGGGAAACUUACGCUAAUACCGCAUACGACCUACGGGUGAAAGCAGGGGAUCUUCGGACCUUGCGCGAUUGAAUGAGCCGAUGUCGGAUUAGCUAGUUGGCGGGGUAAAGGCCCACCAAGGCGACGAUCCGUAGCUGGUCUGAGAGGAUGAUCAGCCACACUGAAACUGAGACACGGUCCAGACUCCUACGGGAGGCAGCAGUGGGGAAUAUUGGACAAUGGGCGCAAGCCUGAUCCAGCCAUACCGCGUGGGUGAAGAAGGCCUUCGGGUUGUAAAGCCCUUUUGUUGGGAAAGAAAAGCAGCAGGUUAAUACCCCGCUGUUCUGACGGUACCCAAAGAAUAAGCACCGGCUAACUUCGUG